rnacentral:tRNA from 1 species
GCCGGCGUAGCUCAACUGGCAGAGCAGCGCUCUUGUAAAGCGAAGGUUGCAGGUUCGAUUCCUGUCGCCGGCG